UACGUAGGGUGCAAGCGUUAAUCGGAAUUACUGGGCGUAAAGCGUGCGCAGGCGGUUUUGUAAGUUUGUCGUGAAAUCCCCGGGCUCAACCUGGGAAUGGCGAAUGAGACUGCAAGGCUAGAGUUUGGCAGAGGGGGGUAGAAUUCCACGUGUAGCAGUGAAAUGCGUAGAUAUGUGGAGGAACACCGAUGGCGAAGGCAGCCCCCUGGGUCAAAACUGACGCUCAUGCACGAAAGCGUGGGGAGCAAACAGG
rnacentral:rRNA from 1 species